AUUGAACGCUGGCGGCAUGCCUUACACAUGCAAGUCGAACGGCAGCACGGGGCAACCUGGUGGCGAGUGGCGAACGGGUGAGUAAUGCAUCGGAACGUACCUUUCAGUGGGGGAUAACGUAGCGAAAGUUACGCUAAUACCGCAUAUUCUGUGAGCAGGAAAGCAGGGGAUCGCAAGACCUUGCGCUGAUUGAGCGGCCGAUGUCAGAUUAGCUAGUUGGUGAGGUAAAGGCUCACCAAGGCGACGAUCUGUAGCGGGUCUGAGAGGAUGAUCCGCCACACGAGAAGUGAGACACGGUCCAGACUCCUACGGGAGGAAGCAGCGGGGAAUUUUGGACAAUGGGGGCAACCCUGAUCCAGCCAUUCCGCGUGAGUGAAGAAGGCCUUCGGGUUGUAAAGCUCUUUCGGCAGGAACGAAACGGUGGCCCCUAAUACGGGUUGCUAAUGACGGUACCUGAAGAAGAAGCACCGGCUAACUACGUGCCAGCAGCCGCCGUAA
rnacentral:rRNA from 1 species